UCAAGCUGAAGAAAAAAAAGAAACACAAGAGAACAGAAAGGCCCAGGUUGGUAAUUCUUUUGACAUUUUUUCUAGCACCAUUUGUUACAUAAGUGUGCCAUAUUCAGAUAUUCCAAUCCUGCAAAUGAUAGCAAAACUGCAUGGAAUACUGAGACCAUUUCUACUUCGGAGAAUCAAAUCUGAUGUCGAGCUAAUGCUCCCUCGGAAGAAAGAAAUCAUAAUAUAUUGGUUAUGAUAUGAAGGUAGCACUGUUUUUAAUCGUUCUCGCUCUCGCUCUCGCUCCGCCUCCCGCUAUCACUCUCGCUCUCGCUCUCGCUCAUACCUCCAUUCUCUGCUACUCUCGCUCAUACCUCACUUUCACUCUCGCACAUAAAGUCCUCUCUCGCUUGCCCCGGCCCCGUUGCCAACCCUAGAGGAAACUAAUCCUAUUAAAUCUAGCGCCUUGAGAAGUUCACUUUGGGAAAUUGAUAGUCUUCGACACCAUUAUUGUCCUCCUGUUUCAAGGUUAGUUUUAUGCCUAGUAUCCCCGUACAAUCAAGUGUGUGACAUUCAAGAGAGAGCUUGGCAUGACACCAGAUAAGUUGCUGGAUGAGUUGAAGAUGAAGAAUCCUGAUAAUGAAGUCCAUCUUAACAGCGUAUAUUACAUCUCUUAAUCUCUCAAACCCUCCCAAAUUUGUAGACAAAUAAAAUUGUGUUGCCCUUACGGAAGAUUCUGUUGCCCUCGUAAAAUCAUAAUCUUUGUAUUACUUGUAAUUUAUGUUUUCAACGCUUGAAUUAUUGUAUGCCUUUUAAAUUAUAAUUCUA